GACGAACGCUGGCGGCGUGCUUAACACAUGCAAGUCGAACGGAAAGGCCCUGCUUUUGUGGGGUGCUCGAGUGGCGAACGGGUGAGUAACACGUGAGUAACCUGCCCCUGACUUUGGGAUAACUUCAGGAAACUGGGGCUAAUACCGGAUAGGAGCUCCUGCUUCAUGGUGGGGGUUGGUAAGUUUCGGCGGUUGGGGAUGGACUCGCGGCUUAUCAGCUUGUUGGUGGGGUAGUGGCUUACCAAGGCUUUGACGGGUAGCCGGCCUGAGAGGGUGACCGGCCACAUUGGGACUGAGAUACGGCCCAGACUCCUACGGGAGGCAGCAGUGGGGAAUAUUGCACAAUGGGCGGAAGCCUGAUGCAGCAACGCCGCGUGCGGGAUGACGGCCUUCGGGUUGUAAACCGCUUUCGCCUGUGACGAAGCGUGAGUGACGGUAAUGUGUAAAGAAGCACCGGCUAACUACGUG
rnacentral:rRNA from 1 species